GCUUUGGUGAGUCAGCAUAGUGGUUUGAGUGCUAGACUGUGACUCUGGAGACCAGGGUUUGAUUCCCAGCUUGGGCA